GAUGAACGCUAGCGGCAGGCUUAAUACAUGCAAGUCGAGGGGCAGCACGAGUAGCAAUACUUGGUGGCGACCGGCGCACGGGUGCGUAACACGUAUACAAUCUGCCUUUAACAGGGGGAUAGCCCGGAGAAAUCCGGAUUAAUACCCCAUAACACAAGAUUCGGCAUCGGAUUUUGUUAAAAGCUCCGGCGGUUAAAGAUGAGUAUGCGCCUGAUUAGUUAGUUGGUGAGGUAACGGCUCACCAAGGCGAUGAUCAGUAGGGGAUCUGAGAGGAUUAACCCCCACACGGAUACUGAGACACGGAUCCGACUCCUACGGGAGGCUG
rnacentral:rRNA from 1 species